rnacentral:rRNA from 1 species
AUUGAACGCUGGCGGAAUGCUUUACACAUGCAAGUCGAACGGCAGCACGGACUUCGGUCUGGUGGGGAGUGGCGAACGGGUGAGUAAUGUAUCGGAACGUGCCCAGUCGUGGGGGAUAACGUUGUGAAAAUUACGCUAAUACCGCAUACGAUCUAUGGAUGAAAGCGGGGGAUCGCACGACCUCGCGCGAUUGGAGCGGACGAUAUCAGAUUAGGUAGUGGGUGGGGUACAGGCCCACCAAGCCAACGAUCUGUAGCUGGUCUGAGAGGACGACCGGCCACACUGGAACUGAGACACGGUCCAGACUCCUACGGGAGGCAGCAGUGGGGAAUUUUGGACAAGGGGCGAAAGCCUGAUCCAGCCAUUCCGCGUGCAGGAUGAAGGCCCUCGGGUUGUAAACUGCUUUUGUACAGAACGAAAAGGUUUCUACUAAUACUAGGAGCUCAUGACGGUACUGUAAGAAUAAGCACCGGCUAACUACGUGCCAGCAGCCGCAGUAA